ensembl:misc_RNA Metazoa_SRP Metazoan signal recognition particle RNA
GCCGGGCACAGUGGCAUGUGCCUAUAGUCCCAGCUACUUGGGAGGCUGAGGUGGGAGGAUCGCUUGAGUCCCGGAGUUCUGGGUUGUAGGGCACUAUGCCAUUGGGUGUCCACACUAAGUUUGGCACUAACAUGGUGACCUCCUGGGGAUGGGAGACCACCAGCUUGUCUAAGGAGGAGUGAGCCAGCCCAGGUCAGAAACGGAGCAGGUCAAAACUCCCGUGCUGAUCAGUAGUGGGAUCGCACCUGUAAAUAAAUACUGCACUCCAGCCUGGGCAACACAGCAAGACCCUGUCUCUU